CCUCAAAAGAAUUAUAGCCUUUUAGUCAGCUCUGAACCACGUAUUAUUAUGAAUACUAAACUGGUUCAAGUGCUCUUUUGGUCCUGCUCUAACAUUAGACAAAGUCUCAAGCAAUUACCUAUCUCUUCAAGGAAUGUGUUUUCCUUGGCGUGGGAUCCUGCUGGAAGCAGGAGGGAACAUUUGUGGAUACAACUUCCCCAGAGCCAGCACACAGCAAGCAAAAAAAAUGUUGUCAACAUCCGCUUUGACUGCAAGUAUUACUUGUGGCUUCUUCACGAGGUGAGGAGGAGGAGGAGGAAUGGAGGAACCAGAACACUGGAAGGAUCUGGCACUUCAAAGGAGAAGGGACCAGCAAAUCUUGCCAAUCUUUAACUUCUGCCUCAUGUAACUGCAUCAUAAACACAAAAACUGGGUGUGUCUGAUAAAUAUGUCAGCUGGGCUCUUGAUUAAAUUAUUUGCAUUGGGCUUUGGCAUUAAUGUCAUGGUGUUAAUUCUCACCUCUCCUAUAGAUACUGCUUCAGGAUUUGGUGGGUUCAAAAACUCCAAACCAUCCUGUGUUGCAGGUGGAACCCAGCUCCCCUCUGGAUUUGAUGCUGCCCAUAACUGAGCCCAUAACCUUCAAUCACAUAAAACAAAGAGCAUGCUUUAUGCACCAUGUGGUCUCCAGGUGGGGGACCCAGAAAAUGCUUUUGUGCUCUCUUCUUUCCCAAAAUCAAACAGGGCUUCUUGCAGAAGGGCUGUGAGGAGUUUCCAUGCUCCUCCAAGCUGGAUCCCACACUGCAGCCCUGGGCUGGGAGCUGGAGCUGUGUCCCAGCAGGCUGUGGUCUGGAUGAAACCAGAAACUCCACCACAAAUCUUUUGCAGAUCCUUCUCUCCUUUAUAGCACUCAGGGGGAUUCGGUUUCGGUGACAUUGCUGAACAAUUCUCUGAAUCAAAGCUGCUUCUUGAAACUCUCCUGGUUUUUUUGAUGGAUUUUUCUCCCUGCUCAUUCAGAGCUGACCUGGGAAUAGGGGUGUUACAGGAUGUUCAGCACUCCUCUGUGUCAGGCUGCAGCUGCCUGAGGUAGCCACUUCACUCCAGGAAAUUAUUUGAGGUUUUCUGAGAGCCUCUUGACAGCAGGUGAAGAUUGUUUCAGCUUGUGGGAGUGCCAGCUAGAAGCCUCCACAACCUGAGUGACAUGCAGUGUCAUGAAAACUGCUGCUAAAACUCAUCUCUGUCCCUUCAAGAUGCUGAUUCUGACGUCAGGGUCUGUCAUUGCAACCAUCACUGAGCAGCUCACCUGGAUAAGAACUGUACCUCCUAACAAGAGAC
rnacentral:lncRNA from 1 species